rnacentral:rRNA from 1 species
UACGUAGGGUGCAAGCGUUGUCCGGAAUUAUUGGGCGUAAAGAGCUCGUAGGCGGUCUGUCGCGUCGGCUGUGAAAUCCCGGAGCUCAACUCCGGGUCUGCAGUCGAUACGGGCAGACUGGAGUUCGGCAGGGGAGACUGGAAUUCCUGGUGUAGCGGUGAAAUGCGCAGAUAUCGGGAGGAACACCGGUGGCGAAGGCGGUUCUCUGGGCCGGCACUGACGCUGAGGAGCGAAAGCGUGGGGAGCGAACAGG